AUGGGAAGACAUCCCAUGUUAAAGGGUUGAAGGACUUAAUAUUGGGAAGAAGGCAGUACUUCUCAAAUGGACCUCCAGAUGCAACACAAUCCGUGUCAAAAUCCCAAAUGACUUUUUUGCAGAAUUUUGCAAGCUGAUCCUAAAAUUCAUACAAUCUAGGGAAAUACAAGGACCCAGAAUAGCCACAUGCGCACACACACACAGAUCUUGAAAAAGAAGAAUGAAGUUGGAGGACUGACACAUUCCAAUUUCAAAACUUACUACAAAGCUGCAGGCCAGGCAUGGUGGCUCACACCUGUAAUCCCAGCACUUUGGGAGGCCGAGGCAGGCGGAUCACCUGAGGUCGGGUGUUCGAGACCAGCCCGACCAACAUGGAGAAACCCAGUCUCUACUAAAAAUACAAAAUUAGCUUGGCGUGGUGGCGCAUGCCUGUAAUCCCAGCUACCCGGGAGGCUGAGGCAGGAGACUCACUUGAACCUGGGAGGUGGAAGUCACGGGGAGCCGAGAUUGUGCCAUUGACUCCAGCCUAGGCAACAAGAGGAAAACUCUAUCUCAGACAAACAAACAAACAAAAAACUGCACACCUAGUACAAUGUCUGCAAUGGAACAGGCGAGCUGUGAAGAUUUGUGGAAUGCAUGGGUGGACUAAAGACCUAUCACCUCAGUCUAGAAUGCCCAGCAUGUUGGAGCGUGAGGACCAAGAACCAUGGUGUUCCUCCACUCAUCAGAGCCAUAUCAUUUUGAUGCAUGCGCCAAGAAAGAAAAUUCAAUCAUCAGACUGAAGCAAUCAAACUCCAAAUGGUGCUGUAAACUGAACCACACAUGGACACACCAUUCUUCUGAGGACCCUUAGAUCCACCCCAGGAGGAGCGCUAGCUGCUGUUCCCUAUUCGAUGCCCCUUUUCAGCAGGAAGUAGCCGGAAAGAGUCACUGCCCAAAAUCCCCUAACAGCAGUUAGUGUGGCAUCUCCACAGCAGGGAGUGUUGUAGGAAAAGGGGUCCUUGGGAAGUUUUCGGUUUUUAAAGCAUCUCCGGAAAAGUUUCUUGUAAAGCCCCGGCUCUUACAGCCAGGCCAGCAACCUUUGAUAUGCAAAUGCUGGCCAUCAGAAACUGGGUCCACCCAAACAUGGAGGCCUUCUUGCCCUUUCCCGACAUGAUCCUGGCAACAUGGCUGCCCCCACAUAUCCCCACAUGUGUAGAAAAUC